ensembl:lncRNA
GGCAAUGACAGUUGGUUAGCUAGCGUGUCGCCGCUGUUCUGUGUGGAGUCAGACACGCCCGCUUUACGUUAGUCCGGGAACCAUGGCAAUGACAGUUGGUUAGCUAGCGUGUCGCCGCUUAGAAAAGGUCUGACUGCACGAACGUUCACUGUUGCAGUGCUGCCUUUGGGAGCAUGUGGUCCUUGAAACACUUCUCUAGUCCAGCAAUAUGAGUGUGCCAGAGGUCGUCACGCUGGACGGGAGGCUGUGGUGGUCCACGAUAACGAAGAAGCAGGUGUCCCUUCCGGUGAUGUGGAACUGACCUUGGACUUGGACCUGGUGCCAGGAAGGAUGGUCGUCACAGAGGCAGUAAGACCUUCCCUCCGCUUGGAUAUAGAAAUCAUUCGACCUCCUCUUCAAUGGUCAGGUCCCUUUUAGGCACCAUAGGAACACUUGACCUCCACCACCAGACCAUCCGGUGAGGCACCCAGGAUCCCAGACCGUUUGGUGAGGGGCACCCAGGAUCCCAGACCAUCCGGUGAGGCACCCAGGAUCCCAGACCGUUUGGUGAGGGGCACCCAGGAUCCCAGACCAUCCG